CUAAAAAUAUACAACUGUGUACCAGGGGGCUUUGGGAGAGGAAAAGGAAAAACAUAAAAUCUUUAAUAAAAAAAAAACAAACAAAAAUGUUUUCUCAAUAAGAUAAUUAUACUUUUAAUAGCCAUUGAUAGCAAAAAUCUAUGGCAGAAAGGAUAAACUUAGGAACUUGCUUAAGCAAAUGUGUGUUAUGGUCACACAGGCAUCUGCAUGCCUUGAACAGUGGUCGUGCAAGUGUGGUCCACUCGCGUGCCUGGGAUGCGUAUCGCAGCCUUAGACUCUCCAUGUGAAACAUCCACGACCUCCGCUGUGUCAGAGGGGCCUGAGGCCGGAAGGGGUCUUGGGGGUCCCUUUCUCUGGCCUCUGAGCAGGGCUGUCCCCUGGCCAUCCCACAACCAAGGCUAGUUCUCACUGGGGCAGAGCCCAUCCUUUUGCGUGGAAAUGGGCCUUUGUCUUCCAGGAACCAUUGACCGGGGAGGGGCAGCCAAACCCCCAGGCAGCCAGCGCUCCCCCAGCCAGCCUCCCCCUGCCCUGCCACCUGGGAAUGGUGGAAAAUCCUAAAUCUGUGUCCAGAGACUGUUUCCUGCAUCACUUACCGCUCUGAACUGUUUAUAAUUCCACUGGGUUUACAGUGACCUGGACAAAUAUUUAAUCCUCAGCCUUCCUAAUAGUUUAAAUCAGAGCUGUCAGCCCGUGGCCAGAGUCUGGUUCCUGCCUGCCGUGAGCAGUGCCUCCUGCCGAGCCAAGCACAGGCCUGGCGAGCGGCUGUCCUCCGCGCCCCGGCUGCACCGCGGCCUCAUUUGGAUUGCCUUGUGCUCUCGCGCUUUAAUGAGGAGGUCCAUGCUUCUGCCAUCAUCCGAACGGCUGCCACGUCACUCAUCUGAGGUGCAUUAAAGCUAGGGCUGGCUUCCAAUGUAAGUAACUGGAAAGGGAGGGGCAGGGAGCAACAGGGACACAGAUCCAAGUUAAUGAUGCGCAGCUUCUGAGCAAACGGGAAAUGAGGGUUGCGGCUUUAGCCGUGCGUCCCAGAUGAGCCUUGGAAACACGUGUGUGGUUUCCUUGGCUAUGAGAUGAAGGGGUUCCCGGAAAAUGGAGCACAUCAGUGAUAGAGAGGGAACAUGCGUGGUUGUGUGGGCUGUCUCCUUUGAUUAGACUGUAAGCAAGAUAGAGUUACUCCCAUUUAACAGGGGAGGACACUGAGGUUCCAGCUGGUUAGUAAUUUGCCUGUGGUGCCUUGUCUAGUAGGAGGCAGUCAGGAUUUGAACCCAGAUUUGUCCACCUUAAAAAAAUAGUCUACUUUCUACCAUACCACACUUUUUUGGUUUUCCUCUGUCCCGUGUACCUGGCAUUCAGUAGAUUCUAAAUAGAUGUUCUAAGGGAAAUGUAUUGAGCAGACGCAAUACAUCAGACACUACCCUGUGGGCGGCCAGUGUUCCCAGAAACAGGCCUGGCGAUGGGGCCAAAGCUGUGGAGUCACGUGGAGGGGCAGGCCUCCUGGGAGCAUGCUCAGCAGCACCGCGUUGGGUCCCUCCUUCAGAGUUCGUUUGCUGUAAGGUGGCUUCUCCUGCAGGAAGCAAGUUGGCUGCAUGAGACACAUUCACCACCAGAGGUGGCGAGCAGGCUGUAGGAUUUGUAGGGAGUCGAGUGACCUCAUCUGAUGCGUGUUUUCAAAAGAUGCCUCUGCUGGCUGGCAUGGAGGGUGGGUUGGCAAGAGAAGACCGUUAGAAUCGUCCAGGAGAGAGGCGACCAGGGCCUGGAUGGGCGCAGCCCUGGGAGGGCUAGAGGGGACAAGCCUGUGGCCAGGAGGGGCCAGUGAAGGAGCUGGCGUUGGCCUCAAGGCACGAGGAGGAGAGAGGGAGGGACAGGUCGGGAGACAUUUUGGAGUAGAGUGGUCAGGGCUUGGGGUGACCACCAGGAUGUGAGCAGUCGGGGGUCCCAUGAAGGUCUUCCUCCCUUGAGCUUCUCCAUUAAGCCACACCGGCAGUGGCCCAGGCGCAGGCUUUUCCUCUGGAUGCUGGCCCCACUGCACUCACACACUUGCUCCCACACUCACACGUGCCCCAGGUGCAGCAGGAAGGAAAGGGCUAUCUCGCCAGGCCCACGGUGCCGGGCGCCCACCCUGCAGGCCGUUCUGGCCGCAGUCAGGAACACGCAGCAAGGCCAAGCAGGCCCGGCCCCAGGGCUCCCAGUUCCCCCAGUUCCACGUCUAAUGCACAGAGGCCAGACAGUCUGUCUAGUUACACACACACACCCCUGAGACGGAGGUGCCACCACACAGUAGGACAAGGCGUCCACACCUUGGCAGCAGCCAGGCCUGGGUCGCCCUUCUCUGGGCACGGCCCCCAGGUGCUCCGUCGCUUUCCUGUUUCCCACGCCCCGUCCCGAGAGGGACUGCGGCUUAGGCCUGGUGGAGGCUCUCCACGUGGGCCCCUCCCAUCCCAGGGCCUUCCAGGCUCUGCCCUCAGCCCCCUCCUUGCUCACUUGAGAUGGCUUCUGGGGGUGCAGGUGAGUGAGACAGAGAGUUGCCCCCACUGACUUUGUGUAAAUCGUUGGUGAAUUUAACCAGGACAGAUUAAUUGCUUGAGUCUCAUUUCACACCUGGUCAUGACACCGGGUGUGGAGGCCACAGUGCGCUCAGACCAAGUGCACGCUAGGCGCCCUCACCCCGUCUCCUCCACUUUGGCCUUUUGUCUCCCACCCCCACCAAAAGAUGUCUCUUAGGGAUGUCAGCUGGAAGGCGAAGCAGAUCAAGUGUUUUGGCAAGUCCCUGCAGCUGUGGGGCUGUGGGAGGAAAGGUGGUCAGUGGUGUUUGUGGAAGCUCAUCCCGGCCAGAUCAGACCGUCCUGUGAGGGGAGGAAGGCGGAAGGUGCCCUUUGGCGGACUGCCACCUAGGCCCCAGUGGAAGGCUGUGGAGCGAGUAAAAAAAUGUUGUGAGCCAAGUACCAGCAUGUUGAAAAGGAAGUUGCAUGGAGAGGUCACUUCUCCUGUGUGACAGCUGGAGAUGUGGGAAAGAGGCAAGACCGUAAAUCUCUGGAAAGAGAUCCAAGGUUUCCGACCCGAGGCCGGGCCCUGCAGAUGUUCAUUUUUUUCAGAAUCUAAAUAUUUAGAAAUGAAGGUGGAAUGUUUUGUUGGGGGAAAGUUGAGGCCGGUCAUUUGCAAGGCCAGCUCUCUCCCCGCUCAGCAGUAGGUGCCCGUAUGUGAUUGUCUCCAAGCGCUGAAACUCCAGCAGAGACGCCCGUCCGGGUCGUGGCAGGGAAAGCUCUGACUCGUGCUUGGCAGUAGUAAAGAACGUGGAUCAAGAGCAAAUGGAGAGGUAUCAUGGAAGAAGACAGGUUCAGAACCCUCCAGACCUCGGUGCAGAUGCUCGCCUGGUUACUUUCCAGCUGGGUGACUAGACAGACCGCUUGCCUUCUCUGGAACUCGGCGUUUUCCUCGUGGAGCUAGUAAUGCCUCUAGAAAGAUUAUCGUAGAGUAGGAAUAGAAAGUCAUUUUGACACGUGGUUUAUGCUUAGUAAAUAGUAACUAUUACUACCAUGUA